UACGGAGGGUGCGAGCGUUGUCCGGAAUCACUGGGCGUAAAGGGCGCGUAGGUGGCGCGGGCAGUCAACGGUGAAAGUUCGGGGCUCAACCCUGAAUCGGCCGUCGAUACUCCCGAGCUCGAGCACUGUAGAGGCAGAUGGAAUUCCGGGUGUAGCGGUGGAAUGCGUAGAUAUCAGGAGGAACACCUGCGGUGUAGACGGCUUACUGGACGGUAACUGACGCUGAGGCACGAAAGCGUGGGUAGCAAACAGG
rnacentral:rRNA from 1 species